GACGAACGCUGGCGGCGUGCUUAACACAUGCAAGUCGAGCGGUAAGGCCUUUCGGGUACACGAGCGGCGAACGGGUGAGUAACACGUGGGUGACCUGCCCUCCACUUCGGGAUAAGCCUGGGAAACUGGGUCUAAUACGGGAUGGGACCAUUCCAUGCAUGUGGGGUGGUGGAAAGUCGGUGCUGUUGUGGUGCUGGCGGUGGGG
rnacentral:rRNA from 1 species